rnacentral:lncRNA from 1 species
GGUUUACGUAUGACCAUAUAUAUGGGACCAAGAUUGGUGGAACCAUAUUUGACCCCGACGGCCACCGUCACACGGCGGCUGAUCUGCUGCAAUAUGCUAACCCUACCGGACUUACUGUUCUUCUUCAUGCAACUGUGCAUAAGAUCACCUUCAGAAGAAGAGGUAUCAUUUUUUUAUUUCUUCAAUUAAAAAAAAAAUAUAGUUUUGUUUAAAUUUUUUUAUGUAAAUGAUGACAUCACUGGAUGAAUUAAACAGGAAAGGUAAGGCCAGUGGCUCAUGGGGUGAUAUUCAGAGACGUGUUAGGGAAGAAGCACAAAGCGUACCUGAAGAGGGACUCCAAGAAUGAGAUCAUAGUCUCAUCUGGAGCACUUGGAAGCCCACAACUGUUGAUGUUGAGUGGGGUGGGCCCAGCCCAGCAAAUUAAGGCCCAUAACAUUUCACUUGUACUUGACCUGCCCAUGGUGGGCCAGAG